rnacentral:lncRNA from 1 species
GUCAAGUUACUACCGCAAAUCCUAACUCAAUUAACUAGCCCAUGUUUUAUAUAUGAAUAAAAGGAGAAUACUUUAUAAAAUUCAUUGCAAGUUUGACAACACAAUGGAGACAAACAAGUUUAUAGAAAAACCCCCUUUUGUUGAAUUUUUGAAGAUGAAAUUGCUUGCUUUUGAUUUCUUUAAAACCUUGCCGAAUCCAUUGAUUGAAUCUCCUUGUACUCUGGGUGUGAUCUCUAAAAUACCAAGAAUUGAAAAGAGAAAAAAAAAGAAAAAAAAAAGAAAAGGAAAAUGAAGAAGCAGAAGCCGGCCG